rnacentral:rRNA from 1 species
GAUCCUGGCUCAGGAUGAACGCUGGCGGCGUGCCUAACACAUGCAAGUCGAGCGGAGAAACUUUUAAAUGAAACUUCGGUCGAAUUUAAAAGCGGAAAGCGGCGGACGGGUGAGUAACGCGUAGGCAACCUGCCCUUUGCAGAGGGAUAGCAUCUGGAAACGGAUAUUAAUACCUCAUAAUACUAAACUAUCACAUGAUAGAGUAGUCAAAGAUUUAUCGGCAAAGGAUGGGCCUGCGUCUGAUUAG